GGCCAUUUCUCAUGGAAAAUCAGGAAAAGAGAAUGAAACAUUAAUUUUCAUGUUGAGUUAUUACAGACAUCAGCAGUAUGGACCAAGCACCCACGAGAUAGAGUCCUGAACUGGGCACCAAGAGAGGGUCACAGAUAUAAAGAGUUUGCCUUGAGUCUCAGAUGAAACUUUGAAUAUUGGACAUUUGAGUUGAUGCUGGAACAAGUUAAGAGUUUUGAAGACUAUGGGAUAUAAUGACUAUAUUCAACACUGAAAGAGCGAAGACAAUGGCUCUUCCAGAGGAAGAAAGAUUAUCCUGUCCUGGCUAUCCUGUCUAUUACCAACAUUCCAGGAUGAAGAAAUAUGGUGAUACACUCAGGCCACUGGAAUGGCCUCCAGUACAGCAGUGAAUACCAGUGGAAUGCAACUUCUUUUGCUUUAGAAGACAAGCUCUUAGCAAUGUCAAGUUUCCAGGUACGACCGAGAGAUAUUCAACAUAUUAUUAUUUCCACUAAGAUGGGAAACAUUUCCUAGGGGUUAUUUCUCUUUGACAGCAGAGAAGUAUCCAAGUUAUUCUAGAUAAUAAAGCAAAGUUUUCCUCAAGUCCUGUAUUAUAUGAGACUGCUGUUUCUGAAAAUUAUAGUCCCACAGCAACCUAUGAAGUUUAGAGAUCAAUAUUUGAUUUUUCUAUCUUGCUAAAUAUUCUUCAAAUCAAGUAUUAGUUGUCCCUGUCACUCAGAAUGAAGAAAAACUGUGUUAAAGAGGACCUGGAGAAGUAAACUGACUACUGACUUACCAGACUCCAGAACUAUAACAAGUAAAUUUCUGUUGUUUAUAAGCUACCCAGAUUAUCGGGUUUUGUUUUAGCAGCCCAGGUGGACUAAGGCAAGGGUUCUUUUAGCUUUUUCCAUAUAUUUGUGUUUGUGUAUAUGUAUAUGUGAGAUGGAAAAAAAGAAUUUGUUAUGAUUCAUCAUAGAGUUAAAAUAUUUUAAGAAUUUAAACUUUUCUACAAAAAUGUAAUUCAAGUUUGUGUGAGAA
rnacentral:lncRNA from 1 species